AUAGCGUAUAUUAAAGUUGUUGCAGUUAAAAAGCUCGUAGUUGGAUUUCUGAGAGGGUGCCAAUGUCCGCCUCGAUGCGUGUGCAGCGGCGCCCUCUCAUCCUUCUGUUAACGUUUCUGAUAUUCAUUUAUUGGUCUCGGGCUCAGAUAUUUUACCUUGAGAAAAUUAGAGUGUUCCAGGCAGGCUUGCGCCGGAAUACAUUAGCAUGGAAUAAUAGAAUAGGACUUUAGUCUCCUUUGUUGGUUUGAGGGACUGAAGUAAUGAUUAAUAGGGAUAGUUGGGGGCAUUAGUAUUUAAUUGUCAGAGGUGAAAUUCUCGGAUUUGUUAAAGACUAACUUAUG
rnacentral:rRNA from 1 species